AACGAACGCUGGCGGCAUGCCUAACACAUGCAAGUCGAACGAGACCUUCGGGUCUAGUGGCGCACGGGUGCGUAACGCGUGAGAACCUGCCCUUAGGUUCGGAAUAACUCCCCGAAAGGGGUGCUAAUACCGGAUAAUGUCUUCGGACCAAAGAUUUAUCGCCUUUGGAUGGGCCCGCGUGGGAUUAGCUAGUUGGUAGGGUAAACGACUACCAAGGAGACGAUCCAUACCUGGUCUGAGAGGAUGAUCAGCCACACUGGGAGUGAGACACGGCCCAGACUCCUACGGGAUGCAGCAGUGGGGAAUAGUGGAACAUGGGGGAAGGCAUGAUCCAGCAAGGACGCGUGAGUGAUGAAGGCCUUAGAGUUGUAAAGCUCUUUUACCCGGGAUGAUAAUGACAGUACCGGGAGAAUAAGCCCCGGCUAACUCCGUG
rnacentral:rRNA from 1 species